CUGCAGUCCAUCCUCAGAAAAGCUUCAAGUGCAUUUUAAAAUUUUAAUUUAUUAUGGUCUAUAUAUUUAUCACACAUAUAGAAAUGCUUCUCUUCAUGUUAGCUUUCCAUGAUUUCUACUGAGCAAACUUUGCUCUUCUGUUGUUUUGUUUUGUUUUUUUUUCUGAGCCAUAUGUUAAGGGGAAGUUUAGGUCAGACAGUAGAAAAAGAUUCUUCCCACAGGGGUGGGGAGGCUGUUGGGUAUUGCCCAGGUUCCCCAGGGAAUGGACACAUGCCCAAGGCUCCCAGAGCUCCAGGGGAGCUGGGAAAUGCUCUCAGGGAUGCACAGGGUAGGAUUGUUGGGGUGUCUGGGCAGGGCCAGAAGCUGGGCUUUGAUGAUCUCUGUGGGUUUCUUCCAGCCCAGGAUAUUUUAUUCCCUUGUCCCAGUUUUGCACCUCACUCAGUGAUUUAAUAACAGGCAAUGAAGAGCUGUGUAUUGCUGACUGUAGUAACUGUAAAUAUUACAGACAAAUAGUUCCACAUUCCUCUUGUGUUCAGUUCUGUCACUAUCCAAGCAGGCAGCUCCCAUGGCAGCAGGGAUGCCCCAGAGAAUGCACUGGAAUGGAGGGCACCUGGGAACACUGGUGAGAAACUCUGGAUCCUCAUCAUGAGGUGGGUUGUUUAUUUGGAGGUUGGAAUACAGUUUAUGGCAUCAUUCCUUUUCUGAGACUGAAAUGAAAAUAAAAUAUCAAAUUAACCACAGGCUAAUUCAAUUAACAAAAUAAAUUGAGGUGGAUGAGAUGGGCUUUGAAGAACCCGAGUCUUCAGCAGAGAGAUUUAUUUCUCUGCUGAACAUCUGUCAGUAAUUACUGUCUGAGCAUCGGUAGCUUCUGGUCACAGACUCUCUGCUGGCUGUUCCUAACACAACCCCAUGGUGACCUUAGACUGAUGAGACUGAGCUCCAUUUCUCUGCUCCUGAUGAGGUGUUAUAAUUCCUGUGUGGUAGUAUUCUGAAUAUCUGCUGAAGGGAGCUUUUCCUCAUGUGUGGUUCUGUUUUCCCCAAGGGACUCACCUUCACAGUGCUUAUUAUGCGUCACCCAGGUGAACAUGUAGAAACCCACCCUGUAUCUGCCAGGUGUCAGCUGCAGUCACCUCCUUCAGAUGCCUGAAACACCUCUGCCAGAUGAGCUGGACCUCAGCAACUCAGUCUGCUGCUUUUCUUUUUAUUUUUUUGCAACACUUUGUUUAUGAUACCACAUCAUAAAGAUAUGUGAUGUCAUGGUGCUAAAAGGAGACUGCAAAAAAAGCAGGUGAAGGUUAAGGAAGAGUGAAAAUUCAGCUGCGGUGAAUAAACUCAGUGAGUCCUAAUGGGGCUGUUCCUCUAAAA